rnacentral:rRNA from 1 species
UACAGAGGUCUCGAGCGUUGUUCGGAUUCAUUGGGCGUAAAGGGUGCGUAGGUGGCGCUGUAAGUCCGGGGUGUGAAAUCCUGAGGCUUAACCUCGGAACUGCAUUCGAUACUGCGGCGCUUGAGGACUGGAGAGGAGACUGGAAUUCAUGGUGUAGCAGUGAAAUGCGUAGAGAUCAUGAGGAAGACCAGUGGCGAAGGCGGGUCUCUGGACAGUUCCUGACACUGAGGCACGAAGGCCAGGGGAGCAAACGGG